rnacentral:rRNA from 1 species
GAUAAACGCUGGCGGCAUGCCUAAUACAUGCAAGUCGAACGGGGGUGCUUGCACCCCAGUGGCGAACGGGUGAGUAACACGUAUCUAACCUACCUCAUAGCGGGGGAUAACUUUUGGAAACGAAAGAUAAUACCGCAUAUGAAUCUUAUUAUCGCAUGAGAAAAGAUUGAAAGGACCGUUUGGUUCACUAUGAGAUGGGGAUGCGGCGUAUUAGUUAGUAGGUGAGGUAAUGGCUCACCUAGGCGAUGAUACGUAGCCGAACUGAGAGGUUGAUCGGCCACAUUGGGACUGAGAUACGGCCCAGACUCCUACGGGAGGCAGCAGUAGGGAAUUUUUCACAAUGGACGAAAGUCUGAUGAAGCAAUGCCGUGUGAGUGAUGACGGCCUUCGGGUUGUAAAGCUCUGUUGUAAGGGAAGAAAAAAUAGAGUAGGAAAUGCCUCUAUAUUGACGGUACCUUACCAGAAAGCCACGGCUAACUAUGUGCCAGCAGCCGCGGUAAUACAUAGGUGGCAAGCGUUAUCCGGAUUUAUUGGGCGUAUAGGGUGCGUAGGCGGUUUUGCAAGUUUGAGGUUAAAGCCCGGAGCUCAACUCCGGUCCGCCUUGAAAACUGCAUUACUAGAAUGCAAGAGAGGUAAGUGGAAUUCCAUGUGUAGCGGUGAAAUGCGUAGAUAUAUGGAAGAACACCUGUGGCGAAAGCGACUUACUGGCUUGUUAUUGACGCUGAGGCACGAAAGCGUGGGGAGCAAAUAGGAUUAGAUACCCUAGUAGUCCACGCCGUAAACGAUGAGUACUAGGUGUUGGGGUUAUCUCAGCGCCGCAGCUAACGCAUUAAGUACUCCGCCUGAGUAGUAUGCUCGCAAGAGUGA